AUUAAUCAUCAAAUUAUAACAGUGUCAAUAUAUAUUUUAAAAAGAAUGGCACUCAAAAAUGAAUUCUGAAACAGAAUGGAGAAAUUUAUUUUAUUUCAUUUAAUAAUUUUAUGUAAAUAAGAAAAAGAAUAGUGAGAAAAAAAUAUAAGUAAUGCAAAGUCCCCACAAUGUGAAUGCAAUAUCUAAAAGAUGACCACAUAUGUAUGUAAAUAAAUAAAUGUGGUCCAAAAUCGUCAGUUUGAGACAACAAUGAUCAUGCCCACCAAGCUUUUAGUGAGUUCAAAGAGUUAUCCUUGUAUUGAUUUGAUAGUGAAGAGUCCUUUACAUGUGAAAUUAAAA
rnacentral:lncRNA from 1 species